ensembl:lncRNA
CUUCAGGUACUGGAUGGCUGCUGUAAGGUCCCCCGGAACCUUCUCCUCUCCAGGCUGAGGAGCCCCAGCUCUCACAGGCUGUCCUUGUGAGGAAAGUGCUUGAACCCUCUCAUCAUCUUCGUGGCCUCCUCUGGACCUGCUCAAACAGCUCCAUGUCCUUCUUGUGUUAGGGACCCCAGAACUGGACACAGUACUUCAGAUGGAGUCUCAGGAGAGCAGAGUAGAGGAGUAAACAUGCUGGAAGCUCAUGGGUUCCUGUCUGUCUAUGAUAAGGAUAAUCUCAACUCAAGCAACAUUUUCAUUGAAUCUUCCCUGUUUUACCUGAAAAUUCUGGAUUCAUAUGGUAUCCCAGCGGUACUCCUUCUGUAUCUGAAACUGAAAGGAAGAAAAUCUCAACUUCACGAUUGCACUGGAGUUAGUUAUGUCACUGCAGAACCCUUGACACGUGGAGAUGAAAUAGUGAGUGCUGCUAUAAAAAAAUAAUUGUAUCUUCCAAGCACCCUUUCCUUUUAGAGGUAGCUUCCAUUUGGCCUUAAGUAGAACGUGCCUCACAUGUUUGCCUAGCUGUAUAUUUGUUUUCCAUCAGAGAUGUUGGGGUAUACUUUAGUGCUUGAGUGGAAAUCCCACUCAGCAGUAUUUGAGAAAUGCUGUGUUUGCUAUCUGACAGUUUGUGCUACUUAUCACAGAGUCUAAAAGGAUAUCAGACUUCUGAAAAUUUGUCUAAUGCAAAACUGGCUGCUUGAGAUCAAUGUCCAUAUUGCAAACUUCAUUCAUUUUGCUUUCAGAUACCAGGGAAAGUGGCUGAUUCUCUCUUAGUUUCUUAGUUUCUUUGCUUGCACCUCAGCAAAGAGGUGUAUUGUUUGCAACCAAAAGAAUAAA